CUUUGGGAAACCCCUACCCCGGCAGGCUCCCUAGGGCCCCGGGGGGCACAGGGCGCCCCCCCCAGAGGCGGCCUCGGGGCCUGUCGGCAUCUUCGGAGCAGCCGGUGUCCCUCCUGGUCACCUUUGGACCAGCGCGGUGACUCGAGCGUCCUUCCGUCUUCAGCCUGCGCCCCGGGGGCCUCUGUGGGUGGCCGCAGCAUCCGCACCCGGGACCAGAGCCGAGUCCUGCAGGGACAGGACGUGCAGGAGCAGAGCUUCCGCUGCGCAGACACGGCUCUAGGGUUUAAGGAGGAUGAACUCCAAUCAAGGACCCGGCCCCGGGCUCAACACCUUAGAAGUACAUGGUUUCCACGAGCCAACGGUCCCUCAGGGACACGCCGGACGCCAUCUCCGUCCACCUACAGGGGAGCGAAGGCUCUUCCUGACAUCCUCUCUUGGCUGAGACGCAGGACGUUUCCACUCCAAAGUGCUCACCGCCCGGGGAAUUCCGCGAACAGCGACCUGGGAGCCUCCCCCUGCCAGUUCCAGGCUCCCCGUCGGGUGUCAGGCCACUGGCCGUGCUUCCCGUGAGUCUUCUGGUUGUUCACGGGCCGAGCGCUCUCGGGAUCUACUGAGACUGGACGCGAGCUCCGCCGGGAUCCCAGCUGCUGCGUCCAGCCUGACUUCGUGGGUGUCUCCAGGGUCGGCCCGGUGCCGGCCACAGCUCCCCACACGCACCCGCCCUGGCAGGCCCUGAGCCCUCAGCCCUUGGGCCACACGGGGAGGUCCCGCCCCCAGUCCCCCUCCCGCAGCCACGGCAGCCCCAUAGGGCAGCUUGGGGCCAGGGCACAGGACACCCAGAAACAAGGAAAAGAAAGUGCGAGGUCCCCCCCAAGUGGGCAUUAGGGCCGCCCCCCUGCCCUCGAGCCAGGACCCGAGCUCCCCUGUGUUCUCUCCGUCCGUCCCGUACCCACGGAUGCCCGAGGGAGGAGGGUCUACACUCACUACCCGCCGGGUGAUGCUUUGGCCCGUCUCUCCAGGCCGUCUGCCCCGGCUGGCUCUCGAGGGUGCCCGGGGCUGCUCUGCGCCCCGUCAAGGUGGCCGGGCCCUCAGCAGGGCCGUCAGGGUGGGGUGCACCCUCCACCUUCCCAGCGCCCCGGGGGCUCCAGCGUGGACCCUAAACCAACACGCGGGGGCGGGGGAGGCAAAGCCGGGCCUAUUCCAGGCUGCGUUGGAUGAGACAAUCUAGGCAAUUCAAAAAAAAAAAAAAAAAAAAUCUAGACGUAAUUUCCUCGCCCCCGGGAAGAGCGGCUGCUGAUUCUGGAGCACACGAACCUCAGAUAAUCCGGGAGCCUCCUUGUUGAGAAAAUUCAAAAUUACGAAUAUGGGAUCGCCACAGGGCCUCGGAAAGGACUUUCACGUUGACCCUUUUGCCAUUUCUGUAAAAUAACGCGCGCGCGCGUGUUCGGCGGAGGGAAGUCUGGAGGGAAGGCGUCCGUGGUGAGUGUUGGGGAGGGCUCGGGCGUCACGGCAUCUUUGUCCUAAUUUUAUUUCUCUCAGAGGAGCUUCGGUGUUUUACACACGUAUCCCUACAGUCAGAAAAGCAAAACGUGAGCCUAUUAUAAAGUCCAUAAACAAUGUCACUUAGUAAAUAUUUAAUUUGUAUUUUCCACGUACACUAAAGAUUCUGCAAGGACGUGUCAUAUUUGAGUCAUUUUUUUUUCCUAGCGUGAGAUCGAGUUCUUUCCAAUGGUCAUAUGUCACUUCAAAGAGAUAUUUUAAAAAACCAUUGCCCAGAUAAUUACAUAUUAGAGGCUUAAAUUCAAGGACAAAUUUCCUCCUCGUUGCUCUAUUCAGAUGAGCAGAUAACCUAAGUUGUGGGGUAUCCAUUUUUCCAUGAGCUCAAUAAAGAUAUUUCCAUUUCCA
rnacentral:lncRNA from 12 species